rnacentral:rRNA from 1 species
UUGGAGGGCAAGUCUGGUGCCAGCAGCCGCGGUAAUUCCAGCUCCAAUAGCGUAUAUUAAAGUUGUUGCAGUUAAAAAGCUCGUAGUUGAAUUUCGGGAUCAAAUUGUCGGUCGUGCCUCGGUACGCACUGGUAUUAUUGGUUCCUACCUUCUGAAGAACCGCGAUGUCAUUAAUUUGGUGUCGUGGGGAAUCAGGACUGUUACUUUGAAAAAAUUAGAGUGUUUAAAGCAGGCUUACGCUUGAAUACAUUAGCAUGGAAUAAUGAAAUAGGACGUUUGAUUCUAUUUUGUUGGUUUCUAGGAUUGACGUAAUGAUUAAUAGGGAUAGUUGGGGGCAUUAGUAUUCAAUUGUCAGAGGUGAAAUUCUUGGAUUUAUUGAAGACUAACUACUGCGAAAGCAUUUGCCAAGGAUGUUUUCAUUAAUCAAGAACGAAAGUUAGGGGAUCGAAGACGAUCAGAUACCGUCGUAGUCUUAACCAUAAACUAUGCCGACUAGAGAUCGGAUGAUGUUAAUUUUUUAAUGACUCAUUCGGCGCCUUACGGGAAAC